UGCCAGCAGCCGCGGUAAUACGUAUGGUGCAAGCGUUAUCCGGAAUCACUGGGCGUAAAGGGUACGUAGGCGGUUAUGCAAGUCAGAAGUGAAAGGCUACGGCUCAACCGUAGUAAGCUUUUGAAACUGCAUGACUAGAGUUCAGGAGAGGUAAGUGGAAUUCCUAGUGUAGAGGUGAAAUUCGUAGAUAUUAGGAGGAACACCAGUGGCGAAGGCGACUUACUGGACUGAUACUGACGCUGAGGUACGAAAGCGUGGGGAGCGAACAGGAUUAGAAACCCCAGUAGUCC
rnacentral:rRNA from 1 species